rnacentral:rRNA from 1 species
AGAGUUUGAUCCUGGCUCAGGAUGAACGCUAGCGGCAGGCCUAACACAUGCAAGUCGCGGGGUAACAAUAAGUGCUUGCACUUAGUUGACGACCGGCGCACGGGUGAGUAACGCGUAUGCAACCUGCCUUCUACAGGAGGAUAGCCCGAAGAAAUUCGGAUUAAUACUCCAUACGAUUGUCCUUACACAAGUAUAGACAAAGAAAGCUUCGACGGUAAGAGAUGGGCAUGCGUCCCAUUAGCUAGAUGGUAAGGUAACGGCUUACCAUGGCAACGAUGUUUAGGGGUUCUGAGAGGAUUAUCCCCCACACUGGUACUGAGACACGGACCAGACUCCUACGGGAGGCAGCAGUGAGGAAUAUUGGUCAAUGGAGGCAACUCUGAACCAGCCAUGCCGCGUGCAGGAAGAAUGCCCUACGGGUUGUAAACUGCUUUUAUUUGGGAAGAAACCCUCUUACGUGUAAGAGGCUGACGGUAGUAUAUGAAUAAGGACCGGCUAACUCCGUGCCAGCAGCCGCGGUAAUACGGAGGGUCCAAGCGUUAUCCGGAAUUAUUGGGUUUAAAGGGUUCGCAGGCGGUACAAUAAGUCAGUGGUGAAAUCCUACAGCUUAACUGCUGAACUGCCAUUGAAACUGUUAGUCUUGAAUUCGGUCGAAGUGGGCGGAAUGUGUCAUGUAGCGGUGAAAUGCAUAGAUAUGACACAGAACACCGAUAGCGAAGGCAGCUCACUAGGCCUGAAUUGACGCUCAGGGACGAAAGCGUGGGGAGCGAACAGGAUUAGAUACCCUGGUAGUCCACGCCGUAAACUAUCAAUACUCGUUUUCGGCGAUAUACAGUCGGAGACUAAGCGAAAGUGAUAAGUAUUGCACCUGGGGAGUACGAUCGCAAGGUUGAAACUCAAAGGAAUUGACGGGGGCCCGCACAAGCGGUGGAGCAUGUGGUUUAAUUCGAUGAUACGCGAGGAACCUUACCAGGGCUUAAAUGUAGAUUGACCGGGUGGAGAAAUCGAGAUCUUCUUCGGACAUAUUACAAGGUGCUGCAUGGUUGUCGUCAGCUCGUGCCGUGAGGUGUCGGGUUAAGUCCCAUAACGAGCGCAACCCCUAUCCUUAGUUGCCAGCACGUAAUGGUGGGGACUCUAGGGAGACUGCCGGUGCAAACCGAGAGGAAGGCGGGGAUGACGUCAAGUCAGCACGGCCCUUACAUCCAGGGCUACACACGUGCUACAAUGGUCGGUACAAAGGGCAGCUACAUAGUGAUAUGAUGCUAAUCUCCAAAACCGAUCUCAGUUCGGAUCGAAGUCUGAAACUCGACUUCGUGAAGCUGGAAUCGCUAGUAAUCGGAUAUCAGCCAUGAUCCGGUGAAUACGUUCCCGGGCCUUGUACACACCGCCCGUCAAGCCAUGGAAGUUGGGAGUGCCUGAAGUCGGUAACCGUAAGGAGCUGCCUAGGGUAAAACUAGUAACUAGGGCUAAGUCGUAACAAGGUAGCC